AUCUAGUUAUUUCAUAAAUGGGAACAUGAAGUCGUGGUUGCUAACUCGGCACUGAAGGCGAAAUUAAAAGGGCUUGAAAAAAUGCCGUUAACAAUCACCACAUCUGCAGCUGGUAACAUUGUUCAAGAGGCUCUCCUUGUUUUAUACGCGAACAAAAAGCGUCCUCAAUAAUCGCCUGCAGUGCAGCUGCUACAGACAGAGAAACCACCCAUGAAGAUAAUCCGCAUUAUCUAAAGUACCAGCAGAAGCCAUUUUGGUCCAUACAUGGCGCGUCGAAAUCUGCAGCUUCGUCUUUAGUCAAUGUAAUGAAAUAAGAUAAUUUGCUGAGGUUCGAUAGUUGGACGUUAACAAUAAGGGGCACUGAAGGCUGCUGAGCGCCUUCACUGAUUAAAGUGAGAUUAUAUCAAAAGGUAUAACAGUGCAAUGGUGUGAAUUAUGUUUUUAUGAUGUAUUGAAGGAAUAAUGAAUACAGUUAGAUUGUCUGACGAGGGGUGUUUUAAAGCGAUUCUAACGAAUAAAAUUGGUUCAAACUUAAA